AGAGCGUAGGGAGGAUACCUAGGCACCAAGAGCCGAAGAAGGACGUGAUAAGCUGCGAAAAGCCAUGGUAAGGAGCAAAUAUCCUUUGACCCAUGGAUAUCCGAAUGAGGAAACUCAAAUCAGGUAAAAGCUGAUUUAUCCAUACAUGAGUAAAGUAGUGUAUAGGAAGGGAACGUAGGGAACUGAAACAUCUCAGUACCUAUAGGAAAAAAAAGAAAACUCGAUUCCUAAAGUAGUGGCGAGCGAAAUAGGAAGAGCCCAAACCCAAUCUGCUUGCAGAAUGGGGGUUUAGGACUGCAUAAUCCACUAAUUAAUUGAAGUAGAAUCGUCUGGGAAGGCGAACCAAAGAAGGUGAAAGUCCUGUAAAGGAGAGAGAUUAGGGAGGCAGGAUCCAGAGUAGUGCGAGACACGUGGAAUCUCGUAUGAAGAUGUGGGGCCCACCCCAUAAGGCUAAAUACUACUUGGUGACCAAUAGAGAUUAGUACCGUGAGGGAAAGGUGAAAAGAACCCCGGGAGGGGAGUGAAAUAGAACAUGAAACCCUAUGCUUACAAGCAGACAGAGCACGUUAAGGUGUGAUGUCGUACUUUUUGUAGAACGGUCCGGCGAGUUAUUGUAUAUGGCAAGGUUAAGCAUUGAGUAAGAUGUGGAGCCGAAGCGAGAGCGAGUCUGAAAAGGGCGAAUAAGUCAUAUAUAAUAGACCCGAAACCGAGUGACCUAACCAUGGUCAGGCUGAAGGUUGAGUAAAAUCAAUUGGAGGGCCGAACUCAUAGACGUUAAAAAGUCUCGGGAUGAACUGUGGUUAGCGGAGAAAUUCCAAUCGAACUCGGAGAUAGCUGGUUCUCCUCGAAAUAGCUUUAGGGCUAGCCUUGAGAAAAAAGAUAUGUGGGGGUAGAGCACUGAAGGUGCUAGGGGCCUCAACCAGGUUACUGAACACUAUCAAACUACGAAUACCAUAUAGAAAUCUCAGGAGUCAGACUGCGGGAGCUAAGUUCCGUGGUCAAAAGGGAAAGAGCCCAGAUCGUCAAUUAAGGUCCCAAAGAUAUAGCUAAGUGGGAAACGAUGUGAAAUUGCGUAAACAACCAGGAUGUUGGCUUAGAAGCAGCCAUACAUUUAAAGAGUGCGUAAUAGCUCACUGGUCGAGUGAAUUUGCGCGGAAAAUUACCGGGGCUAAGCUAUACACCGAAAUUGCGGAUACAGUACAUUUAACAGUGUAUGUUAAGUGGAGAAGCAAGAAGAAAGAAAAGAAGAAAAAAGUAAUUAACUAACAUAUAAUGUUAAGUGUACUGUGUGGUAGAGGAGCAUUCUAUAGUAGGAAGAAGUAUGAUCGAAAGGACAUAUGGACGAGAUAGAAGAGAGAAUGCCGGAAUAAGUAGCGAGAGCAAAGUGAGAAUCUUUGCCGUCGAAAGUCUAAGGUUUCCUGGGGAAGGUUCGUCCGCCCAGGGUAAGUCGGGACCUAAGGUGAGGCUGAAAAGCGUAGCCGAUGGACAGCAGGUAUAAAAUUCCUGCACUACCGAAUACUUAAAAGAUUCAGAUGACACAGUAGAGGAAGGGAAUCCAGGAAGAGGAAAAACUGGAGCCGAAAGGCAUAGUGAAAAUAUAAAGUAAUGAAGUCCCAAGAAUCACACUGGCGAGAAAAGUUUGAAGAUAUUGUAUAAGGUACCCGUACCGCAAACCGACACAGGUAGAUGAGGAGAGGAUCCUAAGACGAGCGAGAGAAGUAUUGUUAAGGAACUCGGCAAACUAACCCCGUAACUUAGGGAGAAGGGGUACCAUAGUAACAUAUGGUCGCAGAGAAGAGUCCCAAGCAACUGUUUAACAAAAACACAGGUUUCUGCUAAAUCGAAAGAUGAAGUAUAGGAGCUGACGCCUGCCCAGUGCUGGAAGGUUAAGGGGAAGGGUUAGGAGUAAUCCGAAGCCUAGAACUAAAGCCCCAGUGAACGGCGGCCGUAACUAUAACGGUCCUAAGGUAGCGAAAUUCCUUGUCAGGUAAGUUCUGACCCGCACGAAAGGCGUAAUGAUUUGGGAGCUGUCUCAACAAUAUACUCGGCGAAAUUGUAGUACUAGUGAAGAUGCUAGUUACCUGCGACAAGACAGAAAGACCCCAUGGAGCUUUACUGUAGCUUGAUAUUGGGUUUCGGUAAUUUAUGUACAGGAUAGGUGGGAGACUGAGAAGUUCUGGCGUCAGCUAGAAUGGAGUCACCCUUGGGAUACCACCCUUAAGUUAUUGAAAUUCUAACCUGUGAUCAUAAACUGGUCAGGGGACAAUGUCAGGCGGGCAGUUUGACUGGGGCGGUCGCCUCCUAAAGAGUAACGGAGGCGCCCAAAGGUUCCCUCAGCACGGACAGAAAUCGUGCGAAAGAGUGCAAAGGCAGAAGGGAGCUUAACUGAAAGACAGACAUGUCGAGCAGAUACGAAAGUAGGGCUUAGUGAUCCGGCGGUAGUGAGUGGAAAUGCCGUCGCUCAACGGACAAAAGUUACCCUGGGGAUAACAGGCUUAUCUCUCCCAAGAGUUCACAUCGACGGGGAGGUUUGGCACCUCGAUGUCGGCUCAUCGCAUCCUGGAGCGGAAGUACGUUCCAAGGGUUGGGCUGUUCGCCCAUUAAAGCGGUACGCGAGCUGGGUUCAGAACGUCGUGAGACAGUUCGGUCCUUAUCUGUCGCAGGCGCAGGAUAUUUGAAGGGAUCUGUCCUUAGUACGAGAGGACCAGGAUGGACGCACCAAUGGUACAACAGUUGUCAUACCAAUGGCAUAGCUGUGAAGCUAAGUGCGGAAGGGAUAAACGCUGAAAGCAUCUAAGUGUGAAGCCCACCCUAAGAUAAGAUAUCCCAUACCGUAAGGUAGU
rnacentral:rRNA from 1 species